GUGCUCAUUUCAGUAGCAUGUAUACCAAAAUUGGAAUAAUACAUAGAAGAUUAGCAUGUCCCCUGCACAUUGUACAUUGACUUUUGUACCCUGUGAAUUUACUGUAUCUGUU